UGACAAAGUAGCUUUGGAAGCUCUGCAGUCUCUUGCUAAGGCUGGUGAAGAGCCUAGCAAAUCACAGUCUAAAUCUCAAGAACAAUCUGCUCAAGAUACUGUUGAGAAAGCUGCUGAUUCUCCAUCUAAUAAUGAUGAAGAUGAUGAAAGUUCAGAUGAUGACAAUGAUGAAAAUGAUAAUGAAGUUCCUCAGUCACAUCUACA
rnacentral:lncRNA from 1 species